rnacentral:ncRNA from 3 species
CCCCUACCUCACAGGAUUGGUAUGAAGAAUUAAAUGAAACGAUGCCUGGACAGCUUCCAGCCCAGUACCUGGCGCGCAGUAGGUGCUCACUAAACCUGAGCUGCGAUGGUCCUUUCCAGGCGCUGUCCACGCCCCGAGGCCUGGGCUCAGGCCGAAGUUGCUCCACAGCACCCCCAGCUGACAGCCAGCGACUGGCAGAGCCCCCAGGCACGGGGGCCCUCUCUCUUCCAGAGAUCUCCAGUGUGACAGCCCAGGCGGCAGAGCCGAGGGUCCUGGUCCCGGCUUCUCGCACCCUCAUGUCAGCCCCGGCCCCGCCCGGCGGCCUGCGGAGGACAAGGUCAGGAUGCGUGUGAAGCCCCAGGGCCUGGUGGUGACUUCCAGUGCCGUGUGCAGCUCUCCUGACUACCUCCGGGAACC